rnacentral:lncRNA from 1 species
AAAAAAUCAGUGCCACAAGCAGUAGAUUGCCUCAGGGAUGAAAAGCUGGCCUCUAGCCAUCUUCCUCUGUUUCACCAGGCCUCCUUGGUUCAUCCAGGCAGCAUGGGCUGGAAGUUAUGAGUUCCACCUUCCUGCUCCUACCGCUCUCAAGAGAGACAAAUUAGAAGGUCAGUAAAGAAAGGCUACCGCUACCGAAAAACCUUCCUUUCCAGCACCUGAGAAGGAAGGUGCUACAGCGCAGCAGGCUCCUGGGAAAGGAUCGGCAAAGACCUCCUCCACCCCCAGCGCCCAAGCGCCUGCAGGUGCCUCCCUUGUUGGUAGUUUGUUACUCAGGUAGUAAACUGCAGCAUAAUGAACAGAGCAAAGAGGAAGUGCCUGGGAGAGCUGCGCUGAAGCCUAGCACCUGCCUUUUCUCACCCGCCAGCAAGUUACACUUAGUGAACUGGAUUUUCCUGAACUGUUCAAGCAAUGGUAAGGUGCCAAAAAUUCUAAUUUUAGGGGGCAGGAGUAUUUUUAAACCAAGAGCCAGACUGGAGCAGUGAGCCAUACAGUUGAAUCAGCAGAGGUAGUGAGUUUACAGAGGGCUGGUGGUGGGUAGAUGGCAACUGGAGCAGCUUGAAUCUGCUCACUGCUCACAAAACAGUUCUGGGG